CUGGCCUUGGUGCCACAGAAAGUUUGUGAGCCUUCAGGAGGCUGAAGCAGGAGGAUCAUGAAUUUCAAGUUGCCGGGGCAACCCAGAGAACAAGCAUCCAACUUUAAACUUAAUAAUAAACUUCAAAAAGAAGGGGAAACCCAUUCAGCUAUGGUUCUGCAAGAAUGCCUAUACAAGGAUGGGGAGUCGUGUCCCGCUCACUCCUUAUCCAGCAGGCGUUAGAGGCAGAGCCUGACUCUGUGGGCCUCAAGCUCAUACAGUUUUGGAGGUCCUCUUUUAGAAAUACGGCGCACUUCUUUGAACAGAGACAUUCACAAAGCCGCACUGGACAGGAAGUGUUCUGGUGAGGAAGUUGGGGAGUUAGAGAUAGUGAGCUUUAUCGGCCAACAAGGCCAACUCGGAGAGUUUUAGGGAAACAGAUGACCAUGUGACACAUUAAAA
rnacentral:lncRNA from 1 species